ensembl:lncRNA
AAAAUAAAAUAAAAUAAAAUAAAAUAAAAUAAAAUAAAAUAAAAAUAAAAAAUAUAAAAAAAACCAAAUUGUUAUAGAUUCUACAAAUAGUUAAAAGAAACAAGGUUUUAGUGAGUUGAUCAUUUGAGGAAUGGCUAAACUGCUAUUUAUGAGUUAGUGUUCAACAAUCUGAUUUUUAACAAAUUGAAAGACAUUUGGGCAGCCCGGGUGGCUCAGCGGUUUAGCGCCACCUUCAGCCCAGGGCGUGAUCCUGGAGACCCGGGAUGGAGUCCCACGUCAGGCUCCCUGCAUGGAGCCUGCUUCUCCCUCUGCCUGGGUCUCUCUCUCUCUCUCUGUCUCAUGAAUGGAUAAAUGAAAUCUUAUAAAAAGUAAAAUGAAGAGCAUCAAAGCGCAUAAGGCAAGAAGCUCUUGUAGGGAACAGGAGCUUCAGCAAGAGGCACGCUGGCUUUUUUCAAGAUCCAGAAGACCUGAGCUUUUUGCUCUUGCCCUUGACGCAGUGGACCAGCUCCUGCUGAGAUGCAGCCCCGCCGUCCAGGCCCAGAGGAGUCUGGCAGCAAGAAGCGGGCCCUCUCCCCGCCUUUCAGCCUCCUUCGUCUUCCCUUGUUCUUGGAUCCUUAAGAGAAACCCGGGACAUCCAAGCAGUGGUAUCCAGGAUGCCCCUACUCACUACACCACGCCCUUGCCUCACCCCCAACACGGCUCCCGGCCUGUUGUUACAACAAACCACCAAGCUCAGCAUCCAAGUUGUCUUCAGAGAGAAACAGCAGAAUCGGUAGAGGGAAAACUCAGCAGGUGUAUUAUUAGUCUCCUCGGGCUGCUAGAACAAAAUGCCCCACACCGGGGCCUGUGACAACACAAAUAUAUCAGCUCACUCUCUGGAGGCUAAAAGUCUGAACCCAGGCGUGGGGAGAGUGGUUCCUUCCGGGAGCCGUGAGGGAGGAAUCUGUCCUGUGCCUCUUUCCUAGCGGCUGGGGCCUGGCUGGCGAUCUCUGGCAUUCCUUGGCGCCUACUGCAGCACACCACUCUCUGCCUUCCUCUCCACGAGGUGCUCUCCCCGUGUGUUCGUCUAGGUUCAAAUAUCCAUUUAUUUAUUUAUUUAUUUAUUUAUUUAUUUAUUUAUUUGAGAGACAGAGAGAAAGCAUGAGCAGGAGGGCCAGAGGGAGAGAGAGAGAGACUCUCAAGCAGAUUCCACACAGAGUGCAGAGCCCAACACCAGGCUCCAUCCCAUGACCCCAAGACUAUGACCCAAGCCAAAACCGAGAGUUGGAUGCCCAACUGACUGUGCCAACCAGGCACCCCAAGGACACUGACCUCUUUUAAAUGACUCAUAAAUGUAGCUCAUUAAGGGCCAUAGAAGGACCAACAGAAGAGAUUAGAUGCCGUCAGUACUAGCUCUGGCCCUGCCAGGGACUUGCUCUCAGCACGUGGUUAGUUGUUUUUUUGUUUUUAUUUUUGCUUUUCUGUACAUAUUUUCCUGGUCAUAAAACAGAUUUUGCCUCUACUCUCAGGCUCCUCAAAAGUCAGUCCUGCAUGACGAUCUCCUAGUUCAAGGGAAGAUUUCCUGGGAACUUAAAAUGAAACGAAUUACUGAUGCCCAAGUGCAUCCCCCAUGCCAUCUAAUUUCAUUUGCCUGGGUAGCCUACUUUUUAAAAGCUCCCCAGGGGGCACCUGGGUGGUUCAGUUGGUUAAACGUCUGCUUUGGGUCAGGUUAUGAUCCUGGGGUCCUGGGUUCAAGCCCCAUAUUGGGCUCCAUGCUCAGCCAGAGGUCGGCUUCUCCUCCCUCUGCCUGCUGCUUCCCCUGCUGGUGCUCUCUCUCUGCAUCAAAUAAACAAAUCUUUUUACAAAUAAAUAAAAAUAAA